GCGGAAUUGAAAGGUAACCUAAUUUUCUCAACUGUGUAUCUUUGUUUCUAGAAUUUAAAUUUUCUUGCUAUUGAGAUUUUUGAUUUAUUUUGGCUGCAUAAAACAUUUACGAGAUUUAAUAUAUGUUUUAAUAACUUUUUCAAGCUCUUAGAAACAGAGAGAAUUUUAAACGAUUUUAUUGUGAUAGUGAAUGGUAUUAUAGUUUACCCCUUGGACGAAUAAAAAUUCGUCCAAGGUUUAUUCUAUCAUUAAGAAAGCAAAAUCAUGAAUCUAGAGAGGUAUGUAAUGGUUACAUUAUUAUGAGGGUGGCGGAAACGUUUAAUUAUUGUGAGAGAUAAUUAAGAUUCAGUAACCAGUUUUAGGAAUUUCAAAGAAAUCAAAACAUGGAGAUAACAAGAAAAUAGAUAAGUAGAUUAUGCAUGUCAAAGGAAUAACAAAUUACUCAAUGGAAAUGAGAAUAUCUAUUGAAAUAUAAAAUCGAUGAUAUACCAGUACUACUCAAAAAUAAAAUGCAAAAGUUGUAGGCAGUAUUCUUAUAUAUGGGGCGUGUCCUCGGUUUAUUGUUAAAGUUGAUGCAAAUGGCAAUGCAAGUAAAAAUUAGUGUAAUAUUAAAGAAAUAUUAUGUUUUAUUUAUUUGAUCAUUAAAAACCAGAAGAUUACUUUGUACAUGGCAUAUUAUUAAGAAUAAAUAUAUAAGAAUUGAUGUAAGAAAGGAUAAAGAAGACAUUAAUGAGAAGCAAUUUAAAGGAAACCAAUGUUAACAAAUUCGUAGAUUUGGAACGAUAAUUAUUUCAAAUAUUUAUAAAACUAUAAAUAAACAGUAUUUACAGGAUAUCUUGGAUGGAACAUAAGACAAACAUAGAGGUCCUACAGCAAAUGGGUAAACAUACAAAACUUCUCACGACAAUCAAAGAGAGAAAGUUGCAAUUCCUAGGACAUAUAAUGAGAGGCUAGCAAUAUGAGAUUCUCUGCCUUAUAAUAGAAGGGGAGAUCGAAGGAAAAUGGCCUGUCGGCACAAUUCGUAGACCCAAUUCAUGGCUGAAAGACUUGUGCAGAUGGCUCAGACAGACGUCUACAGAAGUUUUCAGAACUGCAGUUUCUCAUGCAACAAUAGCCAUUUGGAUUGCCAACCUCCGUAGGGAGACGGAGUUGUAAGAAGGAAUUACAGUAUUUACUAAUUUCUUUCAGAGAUGAUGGUAAUAAUAUACAUUUUUUAGUAGUUCUUAUUUUCUGAAUGAAGAAAGAAAUAAAAUGUUGGCCCAUUGGAACAGAAAUCAAAAAUCAAUACCAAUAUUUCUAUUGUUUGAAAAAUUUAGCUUAUUACAUCAGCUACAAACUAAGAUAAAAAAUUUUCAAAACCAACCUCUUCAAUAUCAUCUAGCAUUCUAGUAAAAAAGUUCUAACCCAGAGUACGAUAACACCAAUGCACUGUAUUACCGAUGGUCACGUCAAUAUCAAAUACUAUUGACUAUAGUUUCAGAUGUUUGGAAUUUUUCUAUAUUUGUUGUUAUUUUUUUCUGUCAUUAUAUAUGCAAUAUAAAACUAUUUUAAUUUU